rnacentral:lncRNA from 1 species
GUAUAUCAAAAUCACCAACCUGUUUUACGGUCGAAAUCCAUGAUCAUGAUACCACAAUCGUGGAUAACAACUACAUUCUACGACUGUUAGUGGGCAUAAACUGCCCACUAACCCCAUGAUUAUGAUCCGAUAAUAAGGGUUAACUACCUUUUAGUGUCAUAAAAAGUGAGACUCCACGUACUCAACGGUUACACUCAAAUCGUCUAUAAAGAGAAGGUAAGAAAACAGCAA